CAGCAGCGCGGGAAUACCGAGGGUGCGAGCGUUAAUCGGAUUUACUGGGCGUAAAGCGUGCGUAGGCGGCUUCUUAAGUCGGAUGUGAAAUCCCUGAGCUUAACUUAGGAAUUGCAUUCGAUACUGGGAAGCUAGAGUAUGGGAGAGGAUGGUAGAAUUCCAGGUGUAGCGGUGAAAUGCGUAGAGAUCUGGAGGAAUACCGAUGGCGAAGGCAGCCAUCUGGCCUAAUACUGACGCUGAGGUACGAAAGCAUGGGGAGCAAACAGGAUUAGAUACCCGCGUAGUCCCUGUCUCUUAUACA
rnacentral:rRNA from 1 species